UAUAUAUAUAUAUAUAUUGAUAAUAAAGAUAAUUACAAAUACAAAUAAACCAUAUUGAAAAUUUCAGUGCAAGACAAGUGAAACCA